AUGACACUUUCUCCGGAAUCUCUGCAAUUGUUUUGAUGACUUCCGUUGAACCCUUUUUGGCUGAUGACUGCAUGGCCUGUAA